rnacentral:rRNA from 1 species
UACGUCGGGGGCAAGCGUUGUCCGGAUUCAUUGGGCGUAAAGAGCGUGUAGGCGGCCGGGUAGGUCGGUUGUGAAAACUGGAGGCUCAACCUUCAGAGGUCGACCGAAACCAUCUGGCUAGAGUCCGGGAGAGGAGAGUGGAAUUCCUGGUGUAGCGGUGAAAUGCGCAGAUAUCAGGAAGAACACCCGUGGCGAAAGCGGCUCUCUGGAACGGUACUGACGCUGAGACGCGAAAGCGUGGGGAGCGAUCCGG